CUCUAACAGGGAGUUACUGUUCCUCAUUUUCUAAAAGCACUAUUAUGUUGUUCUUACAUAUGAUGCAAUUUCUUUUCAGAAGAGUGGCUCUGCUUUUAUUCAUAAACCAUUAUUAUUGGAUUAUUUUCCCUUGGGAGAUCAUAUAUUUUAAAUUGGAGGAUGAAUAUAGACUUUGCAGAAUUUAUUUCUUGGUUGAGAUUGUUUUAGUUUUGAGUGGGAUUUUUUACAUUCAUUGGUUUUCUCUAUCCAGCAAUUUUAGUUUUUUUUUCCUUUGUUAGCUUUAACAAUAUUAUAUUUUCUAGGUUGGAAAGUGGAACAUGAAAUAUAUUAUAAAAAUUGUAAGCUCAUAUUUCAUAUAGUUUUAAAAGUUUUGAAGAGUCUCAAUACAAAAUCAGUUCAUAUUCUGGAAAUGUUUAUAAUAAAGUAUUCCAAUUAAAAAAAAACAA
rnacentral:lncRNA from 1 species